CUCUUAUUUGAAUAAAGACAGUUUCUUCAUCUGAUGUGGACAAUUUAGAGAAGAUGCAUACAACUCGCAGUCCAUCCGCAUCCAUCCAGACAGGGGCAGCUGGAGAUGUUCUGGACCUUAGCCUGACUGGCUCUCUGCUCACAGUGGGCCGCAGACCCAGCAGCGCUUCACCUGGAAAACACUUCUCUCGAUCCAUAUCUGUGUCUGUGGCCAGUGAUGGCCGGGGGAAGCGAAACACUUUGACUGAUGCUGGAUUGGGAGGCUCACGAGCAAUUAAGAAUCUGCGACGGUCCAACAGCACCACACAGGUGAACCAGCAGGCCAACACAAG